rnacentral:rRNA from 1 species
UCCAGCCAUGCCGCGUGGGUGAAGAAGGCCUUCGGGUUGUAAAGCCCUUUUGUUGGGGAAGAAAAGCACUCGAUUAAUACUCUGUUGUUCUGACGGUACCCAAAGAAUAAGCACCGGCUAACUUCGUGCCAGCAGCCGCGGUAAUACUAAGGGUGCAAGCGUUACUCGGAAUUACUGGGCGUAAAGCGUGCGUAGGUGGUUGGCAAGUCUGUUGUGAAAGCCCUGGGCUCAACCUGGGAAUUGCAAGGAUACUGGGGAACUAGAGUGUGGUAGAGGGUAGUGGAAUUCCCUGUGUAGCAGUGAAAUGCGUAAAGAUCGGUAGGAACAUCCUUGGCGAAGGCGACUACCUGGACCGACACUGACACUGAGGAACGAAAGCGUGGGGAGCAAACAGGAUUAAAUACCCUGGUAGUCCACGCCCUAAACGAUGCCAACUGGAUGUUGGGUGCCAUUUGACUUCCACGACCUAAGCUAACCCGUUAAGUUCCCCGCCGGGGAAGAACGGUCCCAGGACUGAAACUCAAAGGAAUUGACGGGGGCCCGCUCAAACGGUGGAGUAUAUGCUUAACUUCGAUGCACCUGUAAGAACCUUACCUGGACUUGACUUGUCUAGAAUUUUCCACAGAUGCA